CCACUUUGGCAGCGCACACACUAAAAUUGGAACAAUACAGAGAAGAUCAGCAUGAUCCCAACGCAAGGAUGACGUGCAGAUUCGUCAAUUGUUCCAUAUUUAA
ensembl:snRNA U6 U6 spliceosomal RNA